GACGAACGCUGGCGGCGUGCUUAACACAUGCAAGUCGAACGAUGAAGCUGGAGCUUGCUCCGGUGGAUUAGUGGCGAACGGGUGAGUAACACGUGAGCAAUCUGCCCAUCACUCUGGGAUAACUGCGGGAAACUGUAGCUAAUACCGGAUACGAGACCUUGGGGCAUCCCAGGGUCUGGAAAGAAUUUCGGUGAAGGAUGAGCUCGCGGCCUAUCAGCUAGUUGGUGAGGUAAUGGCUCACCAAGGCGACGACGGGUAGCCGGCCUGAGAGGGUGACCGGCCACACGGGGACUGAGACACGGCCCAGACUCCUACGGGAGGCAGCAGUGGGGAAUAUUGCACAAUGGGCGAAAGCCUGAUACAGCAACGCCGCGUGAGGGAUGAAGGCCCUCGGGUUGUAAACCUCUUUUAGUAGGGAAGAAGCGCAAGUGACGGUACCUACAGAAAAAGCACCGGCUAACUACGUGCCAGCCGCCGCAGUAA
rnacentral:rRNA from 1 species